GACGAACGCUGGCGGCGUGCCUAACACAUGCAAGUCGAACGAGGUCCAUCCUUCGGGAGAAGACCUAGUGGCGAACGGGUGAGUAACACGUGAGGAACCUGCCCCGAAGACCGGGAUAACCCUCCGAAAGGAGAGCUAAUACCGGAUACCCCCACCGAACCGCAUGGUUUGGUGAGGAAAUGGAUUCCGCUUCGGGAGGGCCUCGCGGCCUAUCAGCUAGUUGGUGGGGUAACGGCCCACCAAGGCAUCGACGGGUAGCUGGUCUGAGAGGACGAUCAGCCACACUGGGACUGAGACACGGCCCAGACUCCUACGGGAGGCAGCAGUGGGGAAUCUUGCGCAAUGGGCGAAAGCCUGACGCAGCAACGCCGCGUGGGGAUGAAGGCUCUCGGGUUGUAAACCCCUUUCAGCAGGGACGAAUCAAGACGGUACCUGCAGAAGAAGCCCCGGCUAACUACGUGCCAGCAGCCGCGGUAAU
rnacentral:rRNA from 1 species